rnacentral:rRNA from 1 species
GACGAACGCUGGCGGCGUGCCUAAUACAUGCAAGUUGAGCGAUGAAGAUUGGUGCUUGCACCAAUUUGAAGAGCAGCGAACGGGUGAGUAACGCGUGGGGAAUCUGCCUUUGAGCGGGGGACAACAUUUGGAAACGAAUGCUAAUACCGCAUAACAACUUUAAACAUAAGUUUUAAGUUUGAAAGAUGCAAUUGCAUCACUCAAAGAUGAUCCCGCGUUGUAUUAGCUAGUUGGUGAGGUAAAGGCUCACCAAGGCGAUGAUACAUAGCCGACCUGAGAGGGUGAUCGGCCACAUUGGGACUGAGACACGGCCCUAACUCCUACGGGAGGCAGCAGUAGGGAAUCUUCGGCAAUGGACGAAAGUCUGACCGGGCAACGCCGCGUGAGUGAAGAAGGUUUUCGGAUCGUAAAACUCUGUUGGUAGAGAAGAACGUUGGUGAGAGUGGAAAGCUCAUCAAGUGACGGUAACUACCCAGAAAGGGACGGCUAACUACGUG